rnacentral:tmRNA from 1 species
GGGGAUGUAAUGGUUUCGACAGGUAGUUAAGUGUAUAGAAUGCAGUCGGGUGAUUACGUUACAAUCAUUUGCCUAAUAAAUGGCGAACCAAAUUACGCUUUCGCAGUUUAAUCAAAUAGAUUUUAAUCACUAAAUAGUGAACUGUGCGUUGUCUAGGGUUGUUCUCUAGCUCUAAUAACAACGUUAUAAUUAGAGAAUAAGGUUUAAUGAUUUCUAUAAGUUAGACUCGAAAAAACUAUAGGAUAGUUAAGUAAGUGGUCGUUAGUUCCCAAAUUACUUAAUGAACAAACUUGAACUAACUAAACUGUAGAUGUCUAUACGUAAGAUUAUUUGGACGGGAGUUCGACUCUCCUCAUCUCCACCA